UUUUUUAUUCUACAUCCCUCCACCGACUGAUCCCUCUUUGUAUUUGUAUUUGUAUAUUUGUUUUUGUUGGUGGAAUGUUCAUGUGUUUCUCCUCUUUGGUUUCCACGUGUUAUGUUCCACCAUUCAGUGUCUAAUACCACUGCCUCGCUCUCCACUCAAGUUUCAUCCAUCGCUUCCACUGUCUACUUUCAUCUGCUUUUCUUUCUUCAUGAUCCCUUCCGUAUCUGUUGUUCGACUCUUUGAUUCCGCCAUAGCGAACGUCGGCCAGUCCGCGUCCACCACAUGGUUCUGUCCACCAACAAUCACAGCAAUAGAAGCAUGACCUCUUUCUUCCAUAUGUUUGGUAGUGUUGAGUAGGGUUGUGGAGGAGCUUAGGGAGAGGGGGUAAUGGCGAAGAUGACACCGCUAAGGCCGGAACAGAAGGUUAUUGGUUUCGAAUCAAGUCAGAAACUCCACCGCUUCUCCCUUUUUCUUCACCACCCAUUCAUCUUUUCCAUUUGAUACCUCCCACCGCUUUGCUCGCAAAACCCUUCAUCGACAUCCUGCUCUUUGCUCGCAAAUCCCCUUCAUCGACAUCUAACCACUGAUAUCAACACCGCCUCAUAUUACAACCGGUGUUUGCAGCCAUCCCGAUGACCCACCCCUUUUUUCUAAGCCCCAUUCGGUUGAAAUUCAGUGCCGUGUUUUUGAUUUAGGGCUUCAGAAGCUGGGUUUUGUUUGGUAAAUCAAUUAAAGCUUCUUACACUACCGGGAUCGAGAAUCGACCUACCGUAUCAACCCUUCUAAAUUGCCAUCAGGUAAUUUCAUUUGGAGGGAGACAGAAGGCGAGGGUCAUUACAACGACGAUGACGGUCGGUCCUAAUGGCUCAUCGGUGUCUCUUCGUUUCCCGAUCCAAACAAGAAGCACCAAGAUCUUUCUCUAUAAAUCGUCAAUCUGAUUCUCUGUUUAUGUUUUUAACUGUAUGUGCCUGUGUUUUUAACUACAUGUGUACGUCUUUCCUCAAUGGCUUUAAUCGUUUAAUCAAUUAUGGAGCACAAAGCAACUACAAAAGCUUUUUCCUUUAAAUAAAAUCCACCAAGGUAAAUUUCUUGAACACACAUAUGUUUUAAUUCCUGUGUUUGCAAAUUUAUAAUUUUUUUUUACAUCUGAGUUAGAGCUCUCAAUUAGUUGAAUCGUUAGUUUGAUUGUAUUGUUCUAUAAAUCAGCCAUUUGUAAUCUAUUAUUUUCAUAAAGAUAUUUGAAGGUUUUAUGGAGGAGGAGAAAAGGAAGAGGAUGAAUGAGUCGGAAUGUGAUUGCAUUUUUUUUGUUGUGAUAAAUGAAGGAUAUAACCUUACUGUCUUCACCCUUUAACUGAAGCUUUCUUAACCAUUUCAGCUAUAAACAAGAAUCGGAUUUACUAAAUUAUCUCAAAUAUGCAGGAUGAUAUGAGAAGCAACAACAAAUUUAUAUGAUAAUAAGAGGUAUGGUCGUAAAGGUUCUUUAAUGGGUAUGGAUGGAUUGUAGCUUUUUUAGCUGUAAGUGUAGUUGAAGCAGUCCAGGUGUCGGUGCCACCUCCUUUCUUCAAUUUGGACCUAUUUGGUUCGAUUGAUUGCUUUUUACAUGAGGGCAUGGCAAUGAUACAUCUCACAUUUGAUAUGGUUAAUCCUCCUGAGAUUGUAGGAGAGCUAACGUGGAGACAUAUUGGUUUUGUCAGGGAAACAAAAACUUUCAUGAAGUAGGGUUUUAACUUCAUAUUCACUCCAAACAUUUGCUGCUGUUGGCUAUGAAGGAUACAUCAUGUCCACAUGAAACCAGGAUUGAGCAAAGUUCCUGCUCUAAAAAGAUGAUGUAUUUAUGAAUGACCAAAUAGAUGUUCAGGUAGCACGACAUCUUCUUCAUUUCAUCAGGUUGUUGUAUAUGUUUAGAUGCUGUGUUUUUUGUGUGAGUAGACUGCUAUUUCUUGAAUAUAAUUAUCAAAAUUUGCUUCUGUCAUUAAAAGAUAGUAGUUUCUUUUCCAUUUUAGGUUUGUCUUAUGGUUUAUUACUUUUUUUAAAACAUUAAAUAUUAUUAUUUUAUGAAUAGGUGUUGAGGUUAGAUGUCCUGGAUGUUAUUUGUAAUAAUUAAACCUCACAUUCAAAUAUAAAGAGACAUAUGAUUCCUUACAUUACAUAAUUUCUAAAGACGAAUCCUACAGGGUAUGUCAUCUUGGUAAACAAUACCUUUUGCGUUCUUUAUUACCUCAACAUCUUACAAGUAGAUCAAUAAGUUAUUAGGUAAUUUGCUUUCUAAAGAGGUGUAAUUUGCAAUUUAAUUACUAUAGCGAACGUUAAACCCUAAACCAAAAUAAAUUUUUUUUAAAAAAAAAUGCGUUAGUUAAUUUGUGUUCAAUGUGAAGGUGUUAGAAACACUUAGAUGACCAACUUCAACAAAACCAAAAAUAUUUGCAAUGUUAAUUCAAUGAUCAGUGCCGAAUGCACCCUUGAAGAAACAUUUUUUAUUGUGAGAGAUAACAUUACUUUUGCAAGUGGAAGCCAAGGAAACAAUAUUUUGAUAUUCUGCCCCACCGUGUUUGUAAAUCGGAGAAUUACAAAGAAUAGCAACAUACUUUACUGUGGUUACCAAUUCAGGCAAUAUACAAUAGUUUCACACAAAUGCAACACCAUCCAAUCCCCACAACGCGGGGAACACCCUUCUAGUUAUAUUUAAUUUUAUUCACGUGUAAUUUGCAGGUAGAAGUCAUUCAAACUAUUGAGAUAAUGCAGUUAUACUAGAUGUAUAUAUAUUAUCAUAUAAUUC